rnacentral:rRNA from 1 species
GUGACCAAGCGUUAAACGGCCGCGGUACUCUGACCGUGCAAAGGUAGCAUAAUCAUUUGUUCCUUAAUUAGGGACUUGUAUGAACGGCCACACGAGGGUUUAACUGUCUCUUUCCUCUAAUCAAUGAAA